rnacentral:misc_RNA from 1 species
AAGUCGUAACAAGGUUUCCGUAGGUGAACCUGCGGAAGGAUCAUUACUGAAUAACUAUGGUGUCGGUUGUAGCUGCCUCUUCGGAGGAUGUGCACGCCCGCCAUUCUUAUCCAUCCACCUGUGCACCUUUGUAGAGACUAGGACACGCUCUCUGGGCGUGAGUGAGGAUUUCGGUCCUCACGUUUCUGGUCACUACGUUUACACAAACCCCAAGUAUAAUCCAGAAUGUAGUCAAUGGGCUUCUUAGCCUAUAAAAACUAUACAACUUUUAGCAACGGAUCUCUUGGCUCUC